CUCCGGUUGAUCCUGCCGGACCUGACUGCUAUCGGAUUGGUACUAAGCCAUGCGAGUCAUUGUAGCAAUACAAGGCGGACGGCUCAGUAACACGUAGUCAACCUAACUCGUGGACGUGGAUAACCUCGGGAAACUGAGAAUAAACCACGAUAGAUCAUAGUGCCUGGAAUGGCUUAUGGUCCAAACAGUUUACUGCCAUGGGAUGGGACUGCGGCCUAUCAGCUUGUUGGUGAGGUAAUGGCCCACCAAGGCGAUUACAGGUACGGGCUCUGAGAGGAGAAGCCCGGAGAUGGGUACUGAGACACGGACCCAGGCCCUAUGGGGCGCAGCAGGCGAGAAACCUUAGCAAUGUGCGAAAGCACGACUGGGUCAGUCCGAGUGAUUCCUGAUAAAGGAGUCUUUUGCUUGUCCUAAAAGCACAGGUGAAUAAGGGGUGGGCAAGUCUGGUGUCAGCCGCCGCGGUAAUACCAGCACCUCGAGUGGUCAGGACGUUUAUUGGGCCUAAAGCAUCCGUAGCCGGCUCUGCAAGUCUUCGGUUAAAUCCACCUGCUCAACAGAUGGGCUGCUGGAGAUACUACAGAGCUAGGGAGUGGGAGAGGCAGACGGUAUUCAGUGGGUAGGGGUAAAAUCCUCUGAUCCAUUGAGGACCACCAGUGGCGAAGGCGGUCUGCCAGAACACGUUCGACGGUGAGGGAUGAAAGCUGGGGGAGCAAACCGGAUUAGAUACCCGGGUAGUCCCAGCUGUAAACGAUGCAAACUCGGUGAUGCAUUGGCUUAUGGCCAAUGCAGUGCCGCAGGGAAGCCGUUAAGUUUGCCGCCUGGGAAGUACGGACGCAAGUCUGAAACUUAAAGGAAUUGGCGGGGGAGCA
rnacentral:rRNA from 1 species